CCCAGUAAGGGUGACAUGGUACAGGGGUGGGCGGGGUUUAGAGAUGGAGGGCGGGGUUUAGAGAUGGAGGGCGGGGUUAGAGAUGGAGGACGGGUUUAGAGACGGAGGGCGGGGUUAGAGAUGGAGGGCAGGUUUAGAGACAGAGGGCGGGGUUAGAGAUGGAGGGCGGGGUUAAAGAUGCAGGGCAGGGUUAGAGAUGGAGGGCGGGGUUAGAGAUGGAGGACGGGUUUAGAGACGGAGGGCGGGGUUAGAGAUGGAGGGCGGGGUUUGAGAUGGAGGGCGGAGUUAGAGAUGGAGGGCGG